UACGUAGGGGGCAAGCGUUGUCCGGAAUCAUUGGGCGUAAAGAGCGCGUAGGCGGUCCGGUAAGUCGGUUGUGAAAACUGGGGGCUCAACCCUCAGAGGCCGACCGAUACUGCCGGGCUAGAGUCCGGAAGAGGCGAGUGGAAUUCCUGGUGUAGCGGUGAAAUGCGUAGAUAUCUGGAGGAACACCGGUGGCGAAGGCGGCUUCCUGGUCCAGCACCGACGUCAGGCACGAAAGCGUGGGGAGCAAACAGG
rnacentral:rRNA from 1 species